AUUGAACGCUGGCGGCAGGCCUAACACAUGCAAGUCGAACGAGUGGCGGACGGGUGAGUAAUGUCUGGGAAACUGCCCGAUGGAGGGGGCUAACUACUGGAAACGGUCGCUAAUACCGCAUACCCUCGGAUGUGCCCAAAUGGGCUUAGCUAGUAGGUGGGGUAAUGGCGCACCUAGGCGACGAUCCCUAGCUGGUCUGAGAGGAUGACCAGCAACACUGGAACGGAGACACGGUCCAUACUCCUACGGGAGGAAGCAGUGGGGAAUAUUGCACAAUGGGCGCAAGCCUGAUGCAGCCAUGCCGCGUGUAUGAAGAAGGCCUUCGGGUUGUAAAGUACUUUCAGCGAGGAGGCGUUACUCGCAGAAGAAGCACCGGCUAACUCCGUGCCAGCCGCCGCGGUAAUUC
rnacentral:rRNA from 1 species